rnacentral:rRNA from 1 species
AUUGAACGCUGGCGGCAUGCCUUACACAUGCAAGUCGAACGGUAACGCGGGGCAACCUGGCGACGAGUGGCGAACGGGUGAGUAAUGUAUCGGAACGUGCCCAGUUGUGGGGGAUAACUGCUCGAAAGAGCAGCUAAUACCGCAUACGACCGGAGGGUGAAAGCGGGGGAUCGCAAGACCUCGCGCAAUUGGAGCGGCCGAUAUCAGAUUAGGUAGGUGGUGGGGUAAAGGCUCACCAAGCCAACGAUCUGUAGCUGGUCUGAGAGGACGACCAGCCACACUGGGACUGAGACACGGCCCAGACUCCUACGGGAGGCAGCAGUGGGGAAUUUUGGACAAUGGACGCAAGUCUGAUCCAGCCAUGCCGCGUGCGGGAAGAAGGCCUUCGGGUUGUAAACCGCUUUUGUCAGGGAAGAAACGCUCUGGGUUAAUACCUCGGGGUAAUGACGGUACCUGAAGAAUAAGCACCGGCUAACUACGUGCCAGCCGCCGCGGUAAAAC